rnacentral:rRNA from 1 species
GGAUGACGAGAGCUUGCUCCUUGAUUCAGCGGCGGACGGGUGAGUAAUGCCUAGGAAUCUGCCUGGUAGUGGGGGACAACGUGUCGAAAGGAACGCUAAUACCGCAUACGUCCUACGGGAGAAAGCAGGGGACCUUCGGGCCUUGCGCUAUCAGAUGAGCCUAGGUCGGAUUAGCUAGUUGGUGGGGUAAUGGCUCACCAAGGCGACGAUCCGUAACUGGUCUGAGAGGAUGAUCAGUCACACUGGAACUGAGACACGGUCCAGACUCCUACGGGAGGCAGCAGUGGGGAAU